GACGAACGCUGGCGGCGUGCCUAAUACAUGCAAGUCGAGCGGACGAAUCGAAAGCUUGCUUUUGAUUCGUUAGCGGGGGACGGGUGAGUAACACGUGGGCAACCUGCCCUGUAGACGGGGAUAACACCGAGAAAUCGGUGCUAAUACCGGAUAACACGAAAUGUCGCAUGACGUUUCGUUGAAAGACGGCGCAAGCUGUCGCUACAGGAUGGGCCCGCGGCGCAUUAGCUAGUUGGUGAGGUAACGGCUCACCAAGGCGACGAUGCGUAGCCGACCUGAGAGGGUGAUCGGCCACACUGGGACUGAGACACGGCCCAGACUCCUACGGGAGGCAGCAGUAGGGAAUCUUCCGCAAUGGACGAAAGUCUGACGGAGCAACGCCGCGUGAGCGAAGAAGGCCUUCGGGUCGUAAAGCUCUGUUGUUAGGGAAGAACAAGUAACGCAGUAACUGGCGUUACCGUGACGGUACCUAACGAGAAAGCCACGGCUAACUACGUG
rnacentral:rRNA from 1 species